rnacentral:misc_RNA from 1 species
AAGUCGUAACAAGGUCUCCGUUGGUGAACCAGCGGAGGGAUCAUUACAGGGUCUAACGACUACCCAAACCAACCGUGAAAACAUCUUCAAACUUGCUGCGGCGGGUCGCUCGCUGGGGGAGCCUUGGCCGUCUCGGUGGCCUGCCGGAGCAAACAAACACAAACUACGCUUGCAGUACCUCUCUGAGAACUUUCUAUAUGAAAAAUCACAACUCAUAACAAUGGAUCUCUUGGCUCUG